rnacentral:rRNA from 1 species
AUUGAACGCUGGCGGCAUGCCUUACACAUGCAAGUCGAACGGCAGCACGGGGCAACCUGGUGGCGAGUGGCGAACGGGUGAGUAAUGCAUCGGAACGUACCUUUCAGUGGGGGAUAACGUAGCGAAAGUUACGCUAAUACCGCAUAUUCUGUGAGCAGGAAAGCAGGGGAUCGCAAGACCUUGCGCUGAUUGAGCGGCCGAUGUCAGAUUAGCUAGUUGGUGAGGUAAAGGCUCACCAAGGCGACGAUCUGUAGCGGGUCUGAGAGGGUGAUCCGACACACUGGAACUGAGACACGGUCCAGACUCCUACGGGAGGCAGCAGUGGGGAAUUUUGGACAAUGGGGGCAACCCUGAUCCAGCCAUGCCGCGUGAGUGAAGAAGGCCUUCGGGUUGUAAAGCUCUUUCGGCCGGGAAGAAAUCGCACGGGCUAAUACCCUGUGUGGAUGACGGUACCGGAAUAAGAAGCACCGGCUAACUACGUGCCAGCCGCCGCGGUAAAAC